rnacentral:tRNA from 1 species
GGUUUGUGGCUCAAUGGCAGAGCGCUCGCCUAGCCCGUGUGAGGCCCUGGGUUUGAUCCUCAGCACCA